CAGUGACACAUUUUCAAACUUGCGCUCCCGCACUGCAGAACAAUCGAAAAGUGGUGCGCUUCAGUUUACCGUUUGCCCCCGCCGGCCUUCUGUCGAACCCCGGCUGCACCCCCCUCCCACCCGCUGCUGUCUCAACAAUUAAAUCACACAAGUCCCGGGAUUUGAGGAAGAGGGGAGGUGAGGCAGCGGUGCGUAAAAUCUGUCGAGGCUGGAGUGACAGAGAUGCACGGCUCCAAGUCGGGACUGAAGAUGAGGAGGCAGGGAGGAAGAGGCAGCUCGGAUGAAGAUGGACUCUGGUUCAUGUCUGAAGGACAUGUGGAACUCCACUUCAAGCUCUUGUGUGUGAGACAGCAGCCCUGCAGAGACAAAAGGUGAAGCUCUGCAUCGAGCUGUCAGAGACCAUCAGAGGGAGAGGGAGCUGGGAGAGGAGGCACAAAAUCCCUAAGACUUGCAGCGAAAGGAGAAGAAGAGGCUGACUGGAAGAUGAUUGUCUCUUGUUUCUUUAUUUUUUUCUUUCUCAAUCACAAGGUAGGCUAAAUCCAGAUUCGAUAAUGUUGGAUCACGCUGAUACUAAUUUUUAUCCGAAACUUUUUCUUUGUGAAUGACAACCAAAUAAAAUCGCUUACAAUCUUUAUGCGCAUGCUUGCUUCCACUAGUGGACAUAUUUGCAGCUUUGAUGUACUGUUCUACCCAGGGUUUGCAUGCACUCCAAAGUGAACGCAGGUUUUAUGUCACUGAAGUCAUGUUUGAUUUGCAGCUCCUUUAAACGUACAAUUCUCAUUAUGUAAAGAUGUAAAGAUUAGCAGCUGUAAAUGAUGCAGGGUUGGGAUACAGUCCUUGCAGCAAACUUUGAUCUCUCCGGAGCU
rnacentral:lncRNA from 1 species